AAUUUGUUUUUUAAUUAAAAAAUAGUAUGAACGGGUUCACUUUUUAUAACAUUAUUAUUUUUAAACUUAAAAAUUAAAAUAUUAAUGCAAAUUUUAAUAAAAAAUUUUUAGACGAUAAGACCCUAUGAACCUUCAUAUAAAAUAAUUAGUUUUUAUUGUAGUUUUAAUAUAUUUAAUUGGGGAAAUAAAUAAUUAUAUUAUUAAAAAAUAUUUAUAAUUUUUGAGCCUAAAAGAAUUUAUAAAUUAGGUACUCUAGGGAUAACAGCAUAAUAAUUAGAAAAGACCAUAUUAGGAUAAUUGA
rnacentral:rRNA from 1 species